AAGUCGUAACAAGGUUUCCGUAGGUGAACCUGCGGAAGGAUCAUUAUUGAAUUUCAAGAGGGAUUGGUUGUUGCUGGCUUUUCGAAGUAAUGUGCACACCGUCUCUUCUUAGUUCUCACAUUCACCUGUGCACCUCUUGUAGACCCGAGGCAAACUUAUCGAGGAAACUCGGAUGUGAGGGUUGCGGGCUUCCUCAGAAGUCGGCUUCCCUCUACUGACUCGUGUGUCUAUGUCUUUACAACCCUUUAUAAAAAAAUUGUUAACAGAAUGUCAUACAACGGUUCGCCCUAAAAAAGUGAGCUUAAUUAUACAA
rnacentral:misc_RNA from 1 species